AGUGAAUAGCACGGUGACGUUGCAGUAAGAUGGAUAGUGGGGAGGCUCCUGCCCAGCGGCCAGUCACCUUGGACAUCACAGUGGAAGAUGUAACCAAGGAAACCCCAGGCCCAGACCCUCCGGAGCCAGCCACCAGCCAGACCCCUUCCAGAGAAAACAUCAUUUCCCAGGAGGACAGCAUCGACUUGGGUGGGGACUUUGCCACCCCGCAGGACAGCAGCGCUACACCUUCAGAGAGCCUGUUGGACAAGCUCAAUGACCAGAUGAUGGAGAGCGUCAUGAUUUCUGACUCACCUAAUAACAGUGAGGAGGAUGAUGUAGCUCCCAUUGACUCCUUUCUGGAUGGAGGGGAGGAGGAAGAGAAUGCACCAGAGACAUCAGAUGACAAAGAGGAUCAAAGUGAAAUUGGACAGAAUACAACUGAGAUUCAAGUUUCAAUCGAGGAACAGGAGAAAGGUGGUGCUGUGGAGGACUUAGAUGAGGAUUCCAAGGAACAGACAGACACACAAGAGCAAGUCACAGCCUGUGUUUCCCCUCAAGGUGACACGCAGAGCCCAUCUGAUCUUAAAAGUGGGGAACCAUCACCACAAGAAGCUAAAGGGACAAGCCCAAAGGAAGAACCUAUACCUGUAUGCACCAUAUUCAGCCAGGGCACCCAGCCGAAGUCUCUGGUGCCUGAUGGCUUCCAGCCCACCCUUAUCAAGUCCCCCAGCUUCAGCAUGGGGACUGGUGGAGGAACCGAUGAAGCAGUGACCCCAAGCAAGCUGACGGCCCCUCUUGUGUGCCAGCCCAGCCCCAGCCUCAGUAAGUUCUUCACUGACAAUGGACAGGUCAACCCAGCCUCUGAUUUCUUUGAUUCCUUCACUGCCCCCUCCUCCUUCAUCUCUGUUUCAAACCCAAAUGCUGAGAUCCCUCCUGGUCCCAGCCCAGCGCCCAUAGCUCCCACCCCUGAGCGCCAGCUCUCUUCCACCUCCUCCUCCAUCUCCACCCCUGGAGGACCUCUGGACUCUGGUGCUCCCACCCCUAGUUCAGUGUUUAGCCCUGCCCCUACUGUAGCCACCUCCAAGUCCCAACCUCCUCCACCCCAAGCAGCCCCAGCUCCAACUCAAGCCCCCGCCCCGGCUACUCAGCCUUUCAAUCAGCUCCAAGCAGUGUUCUCGGGCAGUGAUGAUCCAUUUGCGACAGCACUGAGCCUGAGUGAGGUGGACAGGCGCCAUGAUGCCUGGCUGCCAUCUGAGGAGACCAGGAAGGUGUUGAUCUCUGUAGCCACCCAGCAGUACAGCCCAGCCUAUGUAGAGACCAACAGACUCACCAUGCCUGGACUCAAGUUUGACAAUCUUCAGGGCGACGCUGUAAAAGACUUAAUGCUUCGUUUCCUUGGAGAACCAGCAGCAAUGAAGCGCCAGGUCCUGACUGCCAACUCUGUGGAACAGUCCUUUACAGGCCUCAAACAGCUCAUCAGCAGUAAAAACUGGCGGGCUGCGGUGGAUCUGACGGGCCGGCUGCUGACAGCUCAUGGUCAGGGAUAUGGAAAGGCUGGCCAGCCAACCUCCCACACCACCGACUCACUGCAGCUCUGGUUUGUGCGGCUGGCCCUCCUGACCAAGCUGAACCUCUUCCAAAACGCUGAACUGGAGUUUGAGCCCCUUGGCAACCUGGAUCAACCAGACCUCUACUAUGAGUACUACCCCACUGUUUACCCGGGGAGAAGAGGCUCCAUGGUGCCGUUCUCCAUGCGGCUGCUGCAUGCCGAGCUUCCCCAGUACCUGGCCAAGCCCCAGGAGGCUCUGGACCGCCUGCACAAUCUCAAAACCGUCUGCCUCGCUAUUCAGGAGAACUUGGAGAAAGGCUUGGCUGAGGAUGGCAGCAUGUUCACCGUAACACAAGAGAACAGGCAAGCGUCACUUAAGCUGUGGAGGUCUCGCCUCAGCCGGGUCAUGUACUCCAUGGCCAACUGUCUACUGCUGAUGAAGGACUAUGUUCUGGCUGUGGAGACCUAUCACUCCAUCAUCCAGUAUGAACCCCAGCAGAGAGUGCAGCUGCUCAGUGGUAUAGGACGCAUCUUCUUGCAGAUCGGAGACGUUAAAACUGCAGAGAGGUACUUCCAGGAUGUGGAGGAAGUCUGCCAGAUGAAAGGGAGCCAGCCCAGUCACACCACAUGCGUGCUGAUGAACAGGGCCUUCGUCUACCUCAGUCAGAACAACUACGCUGAAGCUCAUGCAUCCUUCACUGAAGUCUUGAAAAUUGACCCGAAAAACCCUGUUGCCAACAACAACGCAGCAGUUUGCCUGCUCUAUCUCGGCCGUCUGAAGGAGUCCCUGGGCCAGCUGGAGGGCUUGGUGCAGCAGGACCCUGCGCUCUACCUCCAUGAGAGCGUCCUCUUCAACCUGACCACUAUGUACGAGCUGGAGUCAUCUCGCAGCACCCAGAAGAAGCAGGCUCUGCUGGAGGCCGUGGCCUGUCGGGAGGGGGACAGCUUCAACACACAGUGCCUCAAACUGGUCUAAGAGGCAAGAAUAAGAACUGGGAGGGGACAAACACUAUUGCAUUCUCAUCCAGUGCGACAGGGAAUAAAAGCCCAAGAGUAGAAUCCUAGAGGAGUAGAAAGCUCUAACUCCAGUGAAAGUGAGGUGACAGAGAAGUAAAUGUUUAGUGCUUGUUUCGGUUUCCCAGAAUCAGGUUGAUAUAAGAUCUUUCAGAACUGGUUUUAUACUUCUAAAAUGGAUCUGGGAAGCCCAGGCAUGCAUUUCUUUUCACAUCAGCCUGCAGGGGGGCACGGCACUCCUAUCCUUGUAGAGGGUGACCCAGUAAUGACUCAUGCAUUUACUUACAGGAACAGAAACGGUGGCCAGCUCACACAAGUUGUGCGCAGAAUGUUCAUUUUACUUUACAGAUUAAAGGAGUAGUUUGACAUUUUGGGAAGUUUUGCAUAUUUGCUUUCAUGCUGUAAGUUAGAUGAGAACAUCGAUACCACUCUGUUUGUGCCGUAAAUAUCAGGCUUUAGGGAAAAUUCUGAUAAUGUGAUUGUGAUACAGAAGGGUCUUCAAAAUCUGAUCAACUGGAAGGAUACACAUUUUGUAGGGAGGUUGCUGUUUGCUUUAGUUUACUCUUCUUGCAUUAGAAUCAGAGGACCUGUAAGGAACUGUUCUGUUGCAACAGGUUGUUUAACAAGCUUCACCAGCUUUUUACCUGGUUGUAGGGAGUUUUCGAAAUGUGUCAGGGACAGCAAUAUUGUGUGUUUCUUCACUGAUUAACUUCUUACUUACUGACUUACUUACUACAAACAGACAAGCUCAUCUUGCAAUGAUCCCUCAAGAUUGUCCUGCUAAGCAGUCCAGCACAUAAUCCCUCUGAAAACACUUUGUGCUAACUUAAGCUAACCAGCUGCUAGCUCUAACUUCAUAUUUAGCAUGUAGAAAUUAAACUUAAUAUGAAGCUACAGGCAAGAGACAUUUAACUUAGCUUGAAGACUGUAAAUAGGGUAACAGCUAGCCUGGUUCUGUCCAAAGGUAACAAAAUUGGCCAACCAACAUGUCUAGAGCUCACAAAUUAACAUGUUUGGCGGAUUUUUUUUUUUUUUUUUUUUACCUUUACAGGCUAGCCAUUUCCCCCUGCUUCCAGUUGUUGUGCUAACUAAAGCUAACCAGCUCCUAGCUCCAACCAGUAUUUAGUGUGCAGAUAUUAUGCUAAAUAUGAAGCUACAGGCAGGAGACUGCUAGCUCAGCUCAAAGACUGUAAACAGGUAACAGCUAUCCUGGUUCUGUCCAAAGGUAACAAAAUUGGCCAACCAGCACCUCUAAAGCUCACACAUUAACAUGUUAGGCAGAUUUUUUUUCACCUUUACAGGCUAGCCAUUUCCCCCUGCUUCCAGCUUUUGUGCUAACUAAAGCUAACCAGCUCCUAGCCAGCUCCUAGUGUGCAGAUAUUAUGCUAAAUAUGAAGCUAUAGGCAGGAGACAGCUAGCUUAGCUCAAGACUGUAAACGGGUAACAGCUAGCCUGGUUCUGUUUAAAGGUAACAAAAUCCACCUACCAACAUGUCCAAAGCUCACAUAUUAACAUGUUAGGCAGAUUUUUUUAACCUUUGGAGAGCCAGGCUAACUGUUUCCCCUGCUUCCAGUCUUUAUGCUAAGCUAAGCUAAUCGGCUGCUAGCUGUAGCUUCAUAUUCAACGUACAGACACGAGAGUGGUAUCAAUCUUCUCAACUGAAGCUCUGUAAGAAAGCAAAAGUAUUUCCCAAAAAGUUUAACUGUUCCUCUAAAUGUUUUAUCAAAGAUAUUCAACUCAUACAACAAGCAUUGUGAGAUUGGAACAGACUUCAGAGCAUAGAUGUACAUUGCACUACAGACUGGUGGCAGUGUUAAGGGAGUUGCAGGCUCAUAAUGCGAGUCUUGACACGGGCAUUAUCCUGAGCUUCAGUGUGCUUAAAGACUAAUAAACUACCACCGAGUUCCACAGCCUCUUCCUCAGCAGACACCUGUAAUACUGGAUUAAAAGUCAAGGACCACUCCAUUUCAGCUGCCAGGUUUAUUAACUCAUGCAGUGAAAAUAGAUAAGCCCUUCAGAUUGCAUCAUAACCUGUUCACUAGGCAAAACUAAACAGUAUAAGGAAUCCAAAAUUGUACAUAUCAGAGAAGCUGUUUUUUCUGUUUAAAUGGUUAUAUUAAAAAUGAUUGUCUUGUUAAAUCUUUUAUUGAUUUGUCCUGGUGGAUCUUUAAUUAUCACUGUUUAUAUAUUGUGUUGAUCAUAUUUAUGUAUAUUAAAAUGUGUUUUACCCUCAAUAAACUGUAUUUUAAAUCAACCCAU